CCCACCAUAACCACUUCAAAUCACUGAAGUGGUCAUGGUGGUUGGAGUAACCCUUUAAAUCACCAUUCUAACCCAUGAAAUACCAGGUGAUAGCAGAUUAGCACUUGUACAAAGCCUGAGUGCAGAUUAUCCUAAUACGCCGAGUAGACAACUGUCUACAGGGAUGUAAAUCCCAGCACUGCUGAGUUUUGGAAUGUUUUUACAGUGUUCGGAAAUAUAUUUUAAUUCCUUCAACUGUUUAAUUUGCUGUUUAUUGUAUUCUAUAUAUCAUCCUAUUUGAGUGAACUAGAAUUCAGCACAAAACAAUAGCUAUUAGUCAUGUUAUAUAGAAUAUAUUACCUGCCGUUUGUUACUGUCCAUUUCUUACUUAAGGGUAGGAUCCAUUAGACCCAGAUCAUUGAUUCAGGAGACUUUUCAGAAUAAAGUUUUGGAGCUAAUAUAUCAUCUCCUGCUUAGGGAGUUUCAUACCAUCAGUUGGACUAGCUUGUUAAAACAGGUGGUGGUGAGCGAGAUAUCGAGAGACUUACGGCAAAUUGUCUGCAGUGUAAGCAAUGUUACGGCCACAGUCAGACAAGUAAUAAACCUAGCACUUUCUGGAAAUUUCUGUUUAACAUAUUCAAGCGUUAUUGAUUCCUCUGUCUAUAGUGGAUGAAAGGGAAAU